rnacentral:lncRNA from 1 species
GCCCUCGGCCGGGCGCGGGUGUCCCGCGUCGCCUCAGUUCGCCCGCUACCACACACGCCUCCGGCUCACCACCCUGAGUUGCUUUCGGUUUCUGAGGAGCCGGGACGGUUAGCUCACCCGGACUUCGCCACUUGCGGGGCUCGCGGAGCUCCGCUGGCGCCCUACGGCGGCGGGCACUAGGCUGCUUCGCCUCAGCAGCGGGUCCACAGUAAUUGCAGCCUGUAUGAACGAAGUGAACUAGCAUCUCAAAUCUAACCUCUUCCAAGUCAGACAAACGCGGGAAAUACUUAGCUGUCUUGAGCAUCAAAUGUUCAUCACGGAGAGAAGAGAGUACUAGGGCCCUUGCAGUGGACACAGGCUACAGUGGAAAGCCUGCUCAUCAGGUGGCUCGUGUAAAGGAUGGCAAGCAGCAAUCCCCAGCAGAAAGCAAGCCUCUGAUUGUGGUGUGCAUAGAAGACUUGCUGGCUUACCAAGUGUGUUGCACCAACAUCUAGUGUUUGUAAAGAAAAUUGCAACACAUCCCUCAGAUACAGCACCUAAGCCACAGAUACUGAACAUCUGGACAGAUGCUGGUGCUGAACAACUUGACUGACAUCUCCCACAGACUGUACUGCAGGUCUACUGACGAGAGACAAGACGAUGAAAGCUGUCACGGUAUAAUAUGCACGUACACAAGACAAGUGCUUUCAAAAAUGCUCUAGACAGUUUAAGAUACAUAACCGUCUUCCAUGGCUUUUAAAGUAAAAAUAAGUAUAAAUUCUCUAUUAUUAUUUUUAGAUCAGUUACAUUUUAUACGGGGCAUAAACUAUUAAGGUGAUCUGAUGAGAAAAAAAAAAAGGGCCUUUUCUGCAAGCCACUUUCAAUCACAUCAGAAUAGAGGGUCCUUUUGAAGGGAAAGCUGAAAAUUAAAAUUGACCAAUGGGCUGGAGAGCCCAUAAAGGGAUUAUUUUUUUCCAGUACUUAAGGAAACAUGACCCCUCUGAUGUGGGCAGCCUGCGGCCCUAGCAAGUGUCCCUCUACAGCAAGCCAUGCUUCCCAUAUGAAGUCAUUCUAUCAAAGCUGUCAGUAACACGCUGUUGAAACUCCGCCAUAGUAAAAUAUUCUUUGUGGGUGCUAAUGACUUUGCAUUGGAAUAAAAAGGCCUUAAGCCUCUGUUUCUUCAU